CACAAAUUCCGGCUGUCAUUUACUCUCUCAUUUCACCAAAUAGAAGCUGCAUUCAGAUUUUGUCAGAUUAUGCGACGUUUGUCUUCAGUGACGUCUCAUUCUCGAGGGGUCGCCGGCUAUAGCUACAGAGAGAGUUUGUGAUGCUGGUGACUCUUUAUUUAUUUAGUUUGGAAGGUAAACAUGAAGUACAGAAGUCUUGAUCUGGUUCCUCUCUCCUGUGUAUAAUGGCGGUUUCCGCACACACUAAAUGAGGCGUGUCAAGCUGUCACAUGUCUUUAUCUUGUUCACAUACCGCUGGAGCUCAGAUUCUUAUCUUCGUGGGUUCUUAUUUCUUUAUGUGCUGUAUGCAGAAGAAAGCACUAGGAACCACGACUUCAAAUCAUUCUCAAGACCAUGUCAGAUAUUCAUCUUUCAAAGCUGUUAAUAUGAGGAAAUAUUCACUUCCAUCCUGCAGUUAUCCGCUGGGUUUCCAAUGUUUGACAAAGCCAAAGGAAGGAAAACUGAAAGACUCUAAAGACUCUGUAUGGGCCGCCAGCAGAGAUAGUGUACAGACCUUCCGGCCCAUUAGGCCAAUUGGUUUGUCAGUGUGUGUAUAAGUGUGUGUGUGUGUUUGCAUGAGUGUGUGUUUGUGUGCAAAGCUCUGUGUAUGUGCUACCAUAUUUGCUUUAAUUACUUUUAUUAUUAAUUUAAACAUUUAAUAAUUGACUAAUAAACGGUCAGUACUGAACGUGCAUAAUCUGCCCUGAAACUUUGCUGAAUCUGUCUUUAAUCUGCUUAAUUUGUCAAGAAUCUGCUGUGCUCCUGUCCUGAAUAUUCUCCUUACCAUUGUGAACCAGUUUGAGCUGAAUCUGUUCUGAAUACAUGUUUAAUCUUAACUGAAUCUGUAAUAAAUCAGCAUUUAAACUA